rnacentral:rRNA from 1 species
GCCCGCGGAGUUAUUAAAGAAGCUUGCUUCUUUAAUAACUUAGCGGCGGACGGGUGAGUAACACGUAGGCAACCUGCCUCUAAGACUGGGAUAACUAGUGGAAACAUUAGCUAAUACCGGAUAGGUAUUUCUGGCGCAUGCCGAGAAUGGGAAAGACGGAGCAAUCUGUCACUUAGAGAUGGGCCUGCGGCGCAUUAGCUAGUUGGUAGGGUAGAGGCCUACCAAGGCGACGAUGCGUAGCCGACCUGAGAGGGUGAUCGGCCACACUGGGACUGAGACACGGGCCAAACUCCUACGGGAGGCAGCAGUAGGGAAUCUUCCGCAAUGGACGAAAGUCUGACGGAGCAACGCCCGCGUGAGUGAUGAAGGUUUUCGGAUCGUAAAGCUCUGUUGCCAG